rnacentral:tRNA from 1 species
GCCCCUAUAGCUCAGUGGUAGAGCGUUGCACUUGUAAUGCAAAGGCCCAUAGUUCAAGUCUGUGUGGGGGCA